GGGUUUGAUAACAGAUGGACGGCGCUCUGCUGAUUAGAUUAGUAGGUUCUGGUGUUUGAUAACAGAUGGAUGGUGCUGUGCUGAUUAGAUUAGUAGGUUCUGGUGUUUGAUAACAGAUGGAUGGUGCUGUGCUGAUUAGAUUAGUAGGUUCUGGGGUUUGAUAAAAGAUGAAUGGUGCUGUGCUGAUUAGAUUAGUAGGUUCUAGGGUUUGAUAACAGAUUGAUGGUGCUGUGCUGAUUAGAUUAGUAGGUUCUGGGGUUUGAUAACAGAUGGAUGGAGCUGUGCUGAUUAGAUUAGUAGGUUCUGGGGUUUGAUAACAGAUGGAUGGUGCUGUGCUGAUUAGAUUAGUAGGUUCUGGGGUUUGAUAACAGAUGGAUGGUGCUGUGCUGAUUAGAUUAGUAGGUUCUGGGGUUUGAUAACAGAUUGAUGGUGCUGUGCUGAUUAGAUUAGUAGGUUCUGGGGUUUGAUAACAGAUGGACGGCGCUGUGCUGAUUAGAUUAGUAGGUUCUGGGGUUUGAUAACAGAUGGAUGGUGCUGUGCUGAUUAGAUUAGUAGGUUCUGGGGUUUGAUAACAGAUGGAUGGUGCUGUGCUGAUUAGAUUAGUAGGUUCUGGGGUUUGAUAACAGAUUGAUGGUGCUGUGCUGAUUAGAUUAGUAGGUUCUGGUGUUUGAUAACAGAUGAAUGGUGCUGUGCUGAUUAGAUUAGUAGGUUCUGGUGUUUGAUAACAGAUGAAUGGUGCUGUGCUGAUUAGAUUAGUAGGUUCUGGUGUUUGAUAACAGAUGGAUGGAGCUGUGCUGAUUAGAUUAGUAGGUUCUGGGGUUUGAUAACAGAUGGACGGCGCUGUGCUGAUUAGAUUAGUAGGUUCUGGUGUUUGAUAACAGAUGGACGGCGCUGUGCUGGUUAGAUUAGUAGGUUCUGGUGUUUGAUAACAGAUGGACGGCGCUGUGCUGGUUAGAUUAGUAGGUUCUGGUGUUUGAUAACAGAUGGACGGCGCUGUGCUGGUUAGAUUAGUAGGUUCUGGGGGUUUACUGAAUUUUGGUAUCAGAAUGAUCACUGUGCUCGUUAGAUAUUGUAAGUAGUGCUGUUUGAUUUGAUAUGUGCAUGAUUUCUGUAGAUUACUUUGGUCUUCAGUUAUAAAGGUCAGAACAGUGGCAUGGGCCAAAAUGGGGCUAAGCAACGAUGUUUUGUUCUUUCCAGCUUAUUAUAGCUGUAGCGCUGUAUCAAAGAGCAUCAAGAAAGGUGAUUAAUCAGCAUUAUGAUAAAUGAUACAUAUAUGUAUUUUAGCUCUUGCCAAUACACAGCCGACUGUAUCUCCACUUUAAAAUCACCCGAACAGCUGCAUCUGUUGGGCUUAUUUUACCCAAGUCUGACAUGAACACAGUGUUCUAGCUCAGAGUAGACAUGGGUCCGAACCUUUAUUGGGAUGAGUGACAUGAAAAAUAAACCCAGAGACCGGUCAGAUCUGCUCUGAUUCAGCCCAGACUGUGUGCUUCUUUUUCAGACACACUGAAAAAGUGAGUCAUAUUUGCAGAGAUUCUUCAGUGUAACAGGGUUGUUCGUGGUUUAUUUUUAAACAGCAAUUAGAUGAUCAUUUGUAAGCUUAUUUACACUAGGUGGCCAUUAAUAUCAGGCUCUUUGCCUAAUGAGAAAACCCACUGAGCAAACAACCUCAUGUCAGAUUUUAAUUCCUCUUAAGUGUUUAAAUAAUAACUUUUAGACUACAGCGCCUGUAUGUUCUUUUUUUUUUCCUCAAAAUUUUCCCAUUUUCUCCCCAAUUUACACGGCUAAUUACCCAACCCACCCACCAGGACUCCUCCCGUCAUUAGGGAUGCCCCAACACACCAGGAGGGUGAAGACACAUGCUUCCUCCAAUACACGUGAAGUCAGCCACUGCUUCUUUUCCAACUGCUGCUGAUGCAGUAUUACCGAGCAGCCAGCGCACUUGGAGGAAAGCACAGCGGCUCAGUUCUGGUACAUCAGCUCACAGACGCCCUGUGCUGAAGACAUCCCCAUAGGAGUGAUGUGGGGAGAGAGAGCUCCAUCUACCCACCCGGAGGGAGCAGGGCCAAUUUUGCUCCCUCUGAGCGCCGGCAACUUGAUGGCUAAACUGCAUGAGCUGGGGUUCAAACCUGCGACCUCCUGCUCAUAGUGGCAGCGCUUUAGACCACUGGACCACUCAGCUCCUCAGCGCCUGUAUGUUCUAAUCAAUCAAAUCUCAGCCAUUACAAUUAAAACUGCUGUGUGUGUGUUUGUGUGUGUGUGUGUGUUUGUGUGUGUGUGUUUGUGUGUGUGUGUUUGUUUUUGUGUGUUUGUUUGUGUGUGUUUGUUUGUGUGUGUUUGUUUGUGUGUGUUUGUGUGUGUUUGUGUGUGUGUGUGUGUUUGUGUGUGUGUGUGUGUGUUUUUGUGUGUUUGUUUGUGUGUGUGUUUGUGUGUGUGUUUGUGUGUGUGUGUGUGUGUGUGUGUGUUUGUGUGUGUGUGUGUGUGUUUGUGUGUGUGUGUGUGUAGUAACUCAGUGAAUAGGGACAGUAUGCAGUGGAGGCAGUGUGUUUUCCUAAGCUCUUUCAGAGCCCAUUCUGCGUGACUGCACAUGAAAUAAAUGUUUGUGUUUAUGACUAUUAAAAGGACAGAAGGUGGGCUUGAGGUGGUUGCGGCUGUGUGUGAGUGUUUGAGUUCAUGUGUGUUUGUGGGGUGUGUGUGUGUGUGUGUGUGUGUGUGUGUUUGAGGAUGGGUGUGGGUGUAGCCGAGCGGCUAAGCCAUGUGAGUAACAUUUUAGUCUUUUUUAAAUAAUCCUGCGUUGCUGCCAGGCUUCACCCGGCUGCUCCUCAUCUCCGCGGCUCUUGGCUCGAGCCGGGCUGUACCGGGCCAGAGCAGAGAGAGAGAGAGAGAGAGUUUACAGAGUGAAGAGUUUUGAGUGUGGCGUACAUUUGAUCUGCUUGUCUGAGCCCCAUUCAGGCGGUUCUCUGAGGAGAAAAAAAGCGUGACGGAGCAUAACAGGAAUACUUUCAUUUAAAGGAAUAGUUCAUUUCAGAAAUAGUACAUUUCAUUAUAUCAAGCACAAUUUGUCCAGUUUCAUUGAAUUGAAUGAAUUGCAUUAUAUUUUAAAUAAAAGUCACUGUACUGAAUGAGAGAGUAUUUGAAUGGUGUUUUUCAGGAUCUGUUACAACUGAUGAUUUUGACUGCAAUGUUAUCUUUUUAAAAAUAUUGUGAUAUAAUAUUGCUCCAUAUCGCACAGCCCUAGAUCCCAUUUCGAAGUUGUGUGGGCAUUUAGCGUUUAACAUUCCUCAAUCCACACAGUCAGGUGUACUAGGAAUACAUCAUAAAAGGCAUUACUAGCCACAGUGGACAGUGCUGUGGGCAGUAAUGAUCAUGACCAGUAAAAAGUGAGAAAAAAUGAGAAACAAAUAGCAGAAGGUAUAGAAGAGGAGCUGCUUGUUUUAAGGAUACUUAAAAUAGAAAAAAAAACAUUUUAUUUGAAGAUACUGUUGUUUAUAAUUGAUUAGUGUAAUUUGGAUUGCCUUUCAGUUGUUGAUAAGUGCCUAUGUAAAAUAUUUUUUUA